rnacentral:rRNA from 1 species
GAAUUUUGGACAAUGGGGGCAACCCUGAUCCAGCCAUCCCGCGUGUGCGAUGAAGGCCUUCGGGUGGUAAAGCCCUUUUGGCGGGGAGGAAAAGGCUCUGGCUAAUACCUGGAGCUCCUGACGUUACCGGCAGAUUACGCACCGGCUACCUCGUUCCCACCGCCCGCGGUAAUACGGAGGGGGCAAGCGUUAAUCGGAAUUACUGGGCGUAAAGCGUGCGCAGGCGGUUCGGCAAGAAGGAUGUGAAAUCCCAGGGCUUAACCUUGGAACUGCAUUCUUAACUGCCGGGCUAGAGUAUGUCAGAGGGGGGUAGAAUUCCGCGUGUAGCAGUGAAAUGCGUAGAGAUGCGGAGGAAUACCGAUGGCGAAGGCAGCCCCCUGGGAUAAUACUGACGCUCAUGCACGAAGGCGUGGGGAGCAAAC